rnacentral:snoRNA from 10 species
GGGUCAAUGAUGAGAUGUUACCUUGAAGAGAAGUGAUGACAUAAAAAUUAAAGCUCAGUUGGAUUACGCUGAGGCCC